rnacentral:misc_RNA from 1 species
AAACUUCCAAAAUAAAAUAAAAUACUUCCUAAAUAAUAAUAAAAAACCUAGAUGAUAAAACUUUCUACAACAAUAACAACUAAAACUAAGUCUUAAUCCUAAACUAAUUCAGUUGGCUGUAUGGAUCCAUUUUUGCUAUUCAACUCUGUUAGACACCACGUCUACAUCAAUAUCCAAAACUCGUAAAUUUUUUAUACUACUUCCCUCCACCUCAUCUUAGGCCUCCUUUUUCCCCUUCUCACUCUUUUCCUUACUAACUUAUCACACUUUCAUACAAGGGUAUUUGAUUCUCUGAGUCGUACAUGACCAAACCAUCUAGAGAAUAUAGAAUUUUACAUUGGUCAUCAACCUAUAGCAACUCUCCUCCUCCUUUAACAAUAAUCUAAAUUUCCUAAUUUUACAAUGAACA